CGGGAGCCAGCAGCCGCGGUAAUACGGGAGCCAGCAGCCGCGGUAAUACGGGAGCCAGCAGCCGCGGUAAUACGGGAGCCAGCAGCCGCGGUAAUACGGGAGCCAGCAGCCGCGGUAAUACGGGAGCCAGCAGCCGCGGUAAUACGGGAG
rnacentral:rRNA from 1 species